UUGGUUUUUAUGCAUGUAGUACUCAAAAUAUUUACUACUAUUUGUUUUAUGAAAUGCAACUGACCCAUUUUUUUUUACCUGGUACCAGUAUUAUGCCUGUUCUGUCUUUACAUGAUCAUUGAAAAAUCACAAACGAGUGGCAGAUUCAUCUCUCGGUUUGUAAGGCGUAGUAGGGAUGGCAACGGAUCGGGUAUUUUCGGGUACCCGAUCCGACCGAACCCUAAUAGAACGGAUUUGGAUAGUUAUAAUCGGAUUUGAAACGGGUUUGGAUUUUAAAAAUAAUACCCG
rnacentral:lncRNA from 1 species